CCCAGCAUGUGAAGACUGUUUCAGCGAAACAGGCAGAAGAAACCAACAAGAAGGUUCAACGGCCGAGAUGGCGAUACAGCAAGGCACUGUGGAGUGCUUAGGGCGUGUUGGAGUACAAAGGACAACACGGCCAUCCAAUGCAGCUGAGGAAGUCUCCAGGUGUAAUGACGUUUCGUGCCAAUGGACCCAGGUUUCCAACGCCGAGAGAGUGGGACUGUCACUGUGCUUCGACUUUUCCACUUAAAUGUUCAUUCAAAGGUGUCUUUGUGCACAAAAACGCACAAAGACAAUCGUCAUCCUCGGUUCGAGAGACAACCAACAUAGUAUGGCAACUUCCUGUAGUCUUGGCUGCAAAUGGGUAAGUGAAAUAUUACUACAUUUUAUCCUACAGACUUUGGGGAUAGAAAUUGCUUUGAUUGGAACCUAAUACAAGGGCCUGUUAGAAAUUUAUUAAAUUGAACCCAAAAUACAAGGGCACAUUAUAAACUUUUUCUUGUUUACUCAAAAUUUUAUGUACAUAGAUUUUUUGAUAUUUUGAAUUUUUUACUUCCUCCCCAAAAGUUUACUUUUUCUUCCAUUUGUUUUUCUUUUAUACUUUUGUUUUUUUUUUCUUUUGAUAAUUGAUUCAUAUACCUUAUAACUCAGUCAUGCAUCCCUAAGUGACUCUUGUAUUUUUUAACACCCUCUUCAGGGGGGAAUGUAUUGUUCUUCUAAAAUGCAAAGUUCAAAUUCUUUUUGAGAGUAAUUUUGGGAUAAGAAAUGUGCUACCUCUCCAAUUCCAGAAAGUGAAAUGUUUGGAGAAGGCACCAUGAAUAUGCCUCCAGAGAGCACAUGCUUCACCAGAAGAUCCAGAGUGAACUUUGGGAUGUGGUGAUUUGAAUUGGGUAGAGGUUGAAUGUAUUUGUUUUGUAUGUAUACUCUUAUGCUGAAGGGGACUGCUCCCUAACUAGUUUUUUGUCAAUGUGUCUAGCAAUCACUC
rnacentral:lncRNA from 1 species